AAAAUUUUCAAACCCUAAAACAACAAAAAAGCAGAGUAGAAAGACAGCCAAAUCAGAGGACGAGAGGAAGUCUGCCGAUCUGGACGCAUCUGGUGCAGAUCCGCCUCGCCGUGCCGCUGCCGAGAUCCGCGCAAUCUGGCCGCAUCUGGUGCAGGGAUGGACAGACGCACACAGGCGUCUCGCUGAUCUGGUGGCAUCUGGGGCAGAUCCGCCUCGCCGUGCCACUGGCGAGAUCCGCGCACAGGGCUGCUGGCUGCAACUCACCAGCCUUCCGCGUCGUGCUCACUCGCGCACCAGUCAUCUAUGUCGCACAGACGCACAACCUUCUUCCGCGGUGCGCAGAGUCGCGCGCGGGAAGCUUUUCUGGCCGCAACGUUAUCUGGCUGAGCCAUUUGUGAACCGAGUUUGAGCCGUUUGAAGCCGUUUUUCGAGUCGAGUUUGAACCGUUUGAAGCCGAUUUUGAGCUGUUUUUAAACUGAGUUGGAACCGUUUUUGGAUCAAAUUCGAGCCGUUUUGAAACAGAUCAUAGCCGUUGUUGAGUUGAACUCGAGACGAGCCACUACCUCACAAAUUUAGUUCUAAUUUGCAGCACUUCUUUUGGCAUCCCUUGGCAAUAAUAAAAUGUUGGAUGACUUUUUAAAUUUUAAUUUGCAAAGUUGAAUAUGUGCAAUAUCGAAUAUUAUAUUUUAUUAUUUAAUUAUUUAAUAUUAUAUAAUUA
rnacentral:lncRNA from 1 species